UACGUAGGGCGCAAGCGUUGUCCGGAAUUAUUGGGCGUAAAGAGCUCGUAGGCGGUUUGUCGCGUCUGCUGUGAAAACUCGAGGCUCAACCUCGGGCUUGCAGUGGGUACGGGCAGACUAGAGUGGCGGUAGGGGGUGACUGGAAUUCCUGGGUGUAGCGGUGGAAUGCGCAGAUAUCAGGAGGAACACCAGAGGCGAAGGCGGUUACCUGGACAAUUACUGACGCU
rnacentral:rRNA from 1 species